GCCACUCCCAGAGCCCCUGGAACUCUGGCCCAAGGCUCUCUGACUCCUUCCCAGAUCUUCUUCGCUUAGUGGCUGAAGACUGACGCUGCCCAAUCACCUCGGAAGCUUCCUGGACCAUCACAGACGCUCUGGAAGACAGGAAUGUCAGGAUGCUGAGCCAAAGCUAAGCCAUCAUAUCCCCUGUGACCUGCACGUACGCAUCCAGAUGGCCAGUUCCUGCCUUAACUGAGGACAUAUCACCACAAAAGAAGUGAAAAUGGCCGGUCCUUGCCUUAACUGACGACAUUACCUUGUGAAAUUCCUUCUCCUGGGUCAUCCUGGCUCAAAAGCUCCCCCACUGAGCACCUUGUGACCCCCACCCCUGCCCACCAGAGAACAACCCCCUUUGACUGUAAUUUUCCUUUACCUACCCAAAUCCUAUAAAACGGCCCCACCCCUAUCUCCCUUUGCUGACUCUCUC
rnacentral:lncRNA from 10 species